rnacentral:rRNA from 1 species
AUUGCACGCUGGCGGCAGGCUUAACACAUGCAAGUCGAGCGCGCGGCGGACUGGUGAGUAAUGUCUGGGAAACUGCCUGAUGGAGGGGGAUAACUCCUGGAAACGGUAGCUAAUACCGCAUACCCUCAGAUGUGCCCAGAUGGGAUUAGCUAGUCGGUGGGGUAAUGGGUCACCUAGGCGACGCUACCUAGCUGGUCUGAGAGGAUGAACAGCCACACUGGAAAUGAGACACGGUCCAGACUCCUACGGGAGGCAGCAGUGGGGAAUAUUGCACAAUGGGCGCAAGCCUGAUGCAGCCAUGCCGCGUGUGUGAAGAAGGCAUGCGGGUUGUAAAGCACUUUCAGCGAGGAGGCGUUACUCGCAGAAGAAGCACCGGCUAACUCCGUGCCAGCAGCCGCGGUAAUAC